rnacentral:other from 1 species
UGAAGAAAGUGCGGCCUCGCUCGGCCCGGAGCGAAGAGGUGGCCCGGAGCGAAGAGGUGGCCCGAAGCGAAGAGGUGUCCCAGAGCGAAGAAGUGGCCCGGAGCGAAGAGGUGGCCCGGAACGAAGAGGUG